UCUGUUUAAAAUCUUGAGGGAAACUGAGAAGGAACAGACAAAUGGAGCUCAGUGCAGACAUAAGAGCAGGACGGUGUGGUGCAGCAUCCUUGGUGCCAGUGAUAAAGAGGAGGGAGUCGGGGCCUUUGGGCUGAUCUAGAACAGCCCCCACCCCCACCCCAACCAUGUAUUAGUGCAGAAUCACCUAGCACAGGGGGUGAGGUGGGGGAAGAAGGGAGGUGCUGGUGAAAUAAACUCAAGUCCCUUGGCCUUACCCACACCCUCUGCUUUAGUAUCUCUGCAAUAAGACCACGGGAAGAUGUAGCAGCCUUUCUAACCUGGAAGGACUUGCCGUAUGGCAGAAGGACUGGACUGGAGAUGCAACUGAACCUGGACCAGCAGGCAGAAGGAGAAACUGUUCUUCAGCUCAGGGAGGAAGACACAAACUCAGGCUCAGCAGCCACUGUAUCAGUCUGUAUCAGUUACUGUAAUUAGGCCCUCCUCAAAUAUGCAAGAAGCAGGGGAAGGGAAGUUUUGGAAGGGGGGGGGAUCACUGACCAGCCUGCCUUAGGCACUGGUGUGGGCAACAAGUUGGAGCUUGUAGAGAAACCUAAGAAGCCAAGCACAUGUCCAGCCCACAAGGUGGGACCACUAGGAGGGCUUGUGGAAAAGUUUUGAGGAGCUGAUGUCUCUGGUCGCCGCUGCUUCCUUGAGUCUACACAAGAUUCUACUGGUGAGCCUGGGCCACCCCUUGCCAGCAGGGCCAGCAGGCAGGAAGGAGAGCUGAGGGAAGAGCUUAGAGAGCAAAGACACAGGGCAUUUCUGCAUCUGCCAGAUACCACGACCAAGCGCAGUGACCUUCUCAGAGAAAUGGCUGCUGCUUCAUGCCUGUCUUUCACAUCUCUCACAAGCUCCUCUUUCUGGCCAAGUCUAACCCAAUACUGGCCAGGAAAGGUGAUUCUGGGAAACAGUGUCCCAGUGUACAAGGGCACAAUCCAGCACAGCCAUUAGCAGGCUGGCAGAGGGGCCCUGGUGGUCUAGUGGUUAAGAUCAGCGCUCUCACUGCUACAACCCGGGUUCAUUUCUCAGCCAGGGAACCACACACUUCCUCCCCGCCCCCCCAGGCCCUGUCUGUUCACUGUCACACUCUGGCAGCUGUGUGUGGCUGUGAUGCUGAAAGCUACGCCACAAGUAUUUCAAAUACCAUCUGGGUCACCCAUGGUGGACAGUUUUCAGUGGGGCUGCCAGACUCAGACAGACUAGGAAGAAGGACCUGGCCACCCACUUCCGAAAAAAUUGGCCAUGAAAAUACUAUGAAUAGCCAUGGAGCAUUGUCUGAUAGAGUGCCAAAAGGUGAGAGAAUGGAGCAAAAAGACCACGCAGGGUUCCGCUCUGCUGUCCACAGGGGCACUAGAGUGGGAAGCUACUCGACAGCGCUAACAACAAAGAGGGACUCAAGUGUUAGCGGAAGAACUGGAUUUGGAAGACAGGAUCUGAACGCUGAAUCUCUGACUCCAGCGAUGAGUCACGUUCCUGCUGGGAAGACUCUGUCCUGCCACAAGGGCCUCGGGGGUGAAAGUUAAGUGGGCCACCUGCAGGAAACUUUUGAAGUUCACUCUCUUUAAUCUUUGUUCACACACACAUGUGCUUGCACACACACACACACACACACUUGUAGUAUCUUUCUCAUCCCCCUAAUCUUGGAUCUCUGCCACCUUACUCUCCUGACCUACUAUGCCUGACUUCUUUGUUCUCCUGUCUUAAGACUUCAACAAUUCUGUCAAGAAUCUUCUGUCCCUACUUGCCACCUGGAUAACUUCUAGUUCCCUCCAACCCCCAGCUUACAUGUUAGCUCUUCUGUGGGGCGUUCCCUAGCAAGUGGUCAGUCCCUUCCCACCACUGAUACUCUUUAGAUACACGUCCGUUACGUCACAAGGCGCUGACACAAUUACUUUCUUCAUUCAGCACUCACCCUCUGGAGGAGAGAUUUCACUUUAUCCAUCUUCACACAUUUAGCAGACAGGACAGCAAUGAGUGUGUUGUUCAGGAAACACAGAUGAACGGACGUUUCAGGUGAUGCCACCUCCAGAGUCUGGUCCAGUUUAAUUGCAUAAUUUCAGUGUCAGUCAAUCAUUCGGAGUUGUAGAGACGUGACGUUGGAGGAGGCAGUGGGGGAGAUGUUCAGGGGCCAGAAAACUUUUCUUUGCCCUUGUAACCAGACUUUUCCUAUUUCAACUACUCUUUGGUCGGGGAGUUGAGGGUAGAGGCAGAUAGACCCACACAUGUGGACCAGGAAGAGGGAAACUCAUGAUUAAAAUCUGCUUCUGUUUGCUCCCCGUCCCCCACGUCGAAGGGAAGCCUCCCGCUUGGUUUUCCAUAAGAAGCAUCUGUGUUUGUUCACCAGACAACUCCCACUCAGUGACGGACACGCAAGAGUUGGCAGGAAAACUCCACCAUGAAACUUCUGAGCUCCACAGGAAAGUGCCUCCUCUCAGAACACACAAUCUAGAUCUCAGGAGUGUUUAAUGUAUGUCGGGAAGGUGUUCAUGAAGUAAAAUGACCAGAGGAAGUUCUGGAAUCCCUGAGAAGAAUUUUACAGCGUUAGCUUUUUCACUUGUUCUUUAGCUUUUUCUUCCAUGCCAUAUUUUCUCAACUUUGGGUUGAAAUGUAAUAAGUUGUGUUACACAUGUAAAUUUUUGACGUGUUGUUCACACCAGUAUUGAACAGACAGUUGUUUCGCAUGUACAGUGAACCGUACUUUUCAUAAGAACACAAUUGUGGGAGAGGGACCACCUUCAACCUAGAGUCCCCUAAAGCCAAGUUCCCAGGGGAUUGCCUCACCCCAUAAGCUCUUCUGUUCAUCUUAUUUAUGUUCAUUGACAUUAUGUAAUAUUCCAUUAUACUUGUUGGUAUAAAGAUGAUAAUCCAUGGUUCCAGCCUCUGAGGGGCUCAUGGGGACAGACAUGGCCUGCAAUGGGCCAACUUAGUAGAGGUACAAGUGUCAAUGGAGCACAGAACAGGGAGGAAGUACAUCUGUCCCCACAGAAUGUCAGCCGGGCAUUGAAGGGUGAGCAGGAGUUGGCAGGAAAACUAAAAUAACAGAGUUAGUCAAGGCUGGAGAAAGAGGUGCAGGACCCUUGGGUCAGAGACGGCCCUGAAGGCCAUGGAACUAGAUGAGUCACCUGGGCAGACUAUGUGGACAGAGAAGAGCAGCAGGCCCAGGAUGAUCUCUGGGCCACUGCAAUAGUCACAGGCCACACAGGAGAAGAAGGGCCACCCAAAGACGCUGGAAGGAGAGGCACAACACUAUGGAGGCCAUGGGAGAAAUCUUUCCAGGAAGGAGGGUGCACUCCCCGAAGCUGCUGAGGGUCAGGUAAGGUAAGAACUGAGAUGGGGCCAUGCGGAUGUGGCAGCAUGGAGGUCAUUGGUGAAGAGGGAAAGGCCGUUCUGCAAUAUGUUUAGGAGAAAUGUAAGAUUAGGAGGUAGACACAACACGCAUAGACACUUCUUUCCAGAAGAGUUGCCAAAAAGAAGAGGAGGGUGUAGAGGGAAGUGUGGGGAUGAAAAAGGAAUUGUUUAAGAGUUGUGAAUGAUCUAGUAGAGAGGGAGACAUUGAUGCUUCAUGUAAAAGAGAGAAAAAUAGGAGAAGGCGAAUCCUAGAGAAUCUGAGAGUGGAUGGGGUGAGCAAACAGGUAGAGGGAUGGCGCUUUGAAAAGGUUAGAAGCACGCCAUAUACAGCAACAGAAGGGCAAGAGAGUGAGCCAAGGAGCAGGCAAGGUGGUGGAGUUACA
ensembl:lncRNA